rnacentral:antisense_RNA from 1 species
CUUCACCGAACCCAACCACAACGGCUCGUCGCGGUCCUGACCGUAGGUCGCCAGCAACGCCUGCGCCUC